UACGUAGGGGGCAAGCGUUGUCCGGAAUCAUUGGGCGUAAAGCGCGUGUAGGCGGUUCGAUAAGUCUGCUGUGAAAGUCCAGGGCUCAACCCUGGGAUGCCGGUGGAUACUGUCGAGCUAGAGUACGGAAGAGGCGAGUGGAAUUCCCGGUGUAGCGGUGAAAUGCGUAGAUAUCUGGAGGAACACCGGUGGCGAAGGCGGCAUCCUGGACCGACACUGACACUGAGGAGCGAAAGCCAGGGGAGCAAACGGG
rnacentral:rRNA from 1 species